UACAUCGGGGUCAAGAGAUCAUGC
rnacentral:siRNA from 1 species